AUUGAACGCUGGCGGCAGGCCUAACACAUGCAAGUCGAGCGGAAACGAAGGGAGCUUGCUCCCAGGCGUCGAGCGGCGGACGGGUGAGUAACACGUGAGAAUCUGCCCAUUAGUGGGGGACAACUCGGGGAAACUCGAGCUAAUACCGCAUAAUCCCUACGGGGGAAAGCAGGGGACCUUUUGGCCUUGCGCGUAUGGAUGAGCUCACGUCGGAUUAGCUUGUUGGUGAGGUAAAGGCUCACCAAGGCGACGACCCGGAGCUGGUCUGAGAGGAUGAUCAGCCACACUGGGACUGAGACACGGCCCAGACUCCUACGGGAGGCAGCAGUGGGGAAUCUUGGACAAUGGGGGCAACCCUGAUCCAGCCAUGCCGCGUGUGUGAAGAAGGCCUUCGGGUUGUAAAGCACUUUCAGCAGGGAGGAAGGCUUUGGCCGAAUAGGUUGAAGUACUUGACGUUACCUGCAGAAGAAGCACCGGCUAAUUUCGUGCCAGCCGCCGCGGUAA
rnacentral:rRNA from 1 species